UACGUAGGGUGCAAGCGUUGUCCGGAAUUAUUGGGCGUAAAGAGCUCGUAGGCGGUUUGUUGCGUCGGCCGUGAAAUCCCGAGGCUCAACCUCGGGUCUGCAGUCGAUACGAGCAAACUAGAGUGUUGCAGGGGAGACUGGAAUUCCUGGUGUAGCGGUGAAAUGCGCAGAUAUCAGGAGGAACACCGGUGGCGAAGGCGGGUCUCUGGGCCGUAACUGACGCUGAGGAGCGAAAGCGUGGGGAGCGAACAGG
rnacentral:rRNA from 1 species